CCUGGGUCUACAGGUGUUGUGGACAGUUAAGAUAGCCUGAGAAGUGUGCCCGGGAUCUGCAGGUAGGGUGGACAGGUAAAAACAUUUGUUAGGAGGGAAGAGUUGGCUGAGAGGUGCUGUGCUGGGAGGAUAGCGUAUGCAGAAGGAGCUAAAUGCAAGCUGACUGGGCAGAGGCAGGAAGCACAGAGGGAAGGAGGACUAGAAGCGUGACCUCGUAGGUCCUGAGCAGGACUCGAUCCUCAGUCUGAGGGCACAGGGAACAGGGCUGUUUCCAGUCUGCAGGUCAACAGAGGGGCAUGUUGGUGGCCUUUGCACUUGGCAGAGGAUCACCUUGUCUGUUGCGUGGACAUAGAGGGUCUUGCCGAAGGACUGUCUGCGAUGGGCUCUGGGCAGGUGACAUGGAGGACAGUUACUGGGAUCCAAAGUGAGAGAAGGAGGAGUCAUGGUUUUCUUUAAAAAGAAGCAGAAAGAAGGUUUCCAAAUGCCAGCUAGGUGCAAUGGACUUCUGCAGCUUGCAGCCAACAAACUUUGAUCAGAGCAUAUGGAAACUGUAUGAAGUUGCAUCACAGUAAAAACAGAAAGCUACGGGUGCUUCCUGCACAGAUGGCGCCCAUAUGGAAUUUGUUGAAUUCUACAGCUGCUAUUAAACCAACCAAGAAGAGCAUCUCUUUGGAGAAGCAUUUCUACCUUCCUGAACUAAUGCUUCUCAUCUUGACCUUGACCUCUACACAGACCUUGGUAUUUAAGGACACCUGUGGUCUGUGGUUGUACUAACCACAGAACCUGAUCUCCUGCGUGGCUGUAAGCCAGUGCAUUUCUCCGGUGCUAAUGGCAUGCUUGGAUUCAUAAAAGAUAGGCUUCACACAAGCUCUUUGGUCUGCAUUUUUGUCAUUGUGAAUAAGAAAACAUGAGUGGAAAAACUGAAAUGUGCUGAGGGCCCUCAACAUACAACCUACAUGCUUUGUUAUUGCACAUCUGUAAUAAGUAAGAAGUCUCGCCUUAUCUCGUGGCGAAAUCUCCCCUGACUCCAUGGAAACUAUUGCUGUGAGAUAAUCUCAGGCCUUGAUUAUGGUUCCAGUUAUUUGAUGUUGACUGAAAUAAAGUCUCCUUAUAUUUUAACA
rnacentral:lncRNA from 12 species